UCCCUGGUGGUCCAGUGGUUAAGGAUCUGCCUUGCAAUGCAGGGGACACGGGUUUGAUUCCUGUUCGGAGAA
rnacentral:tRNA from 1 species